rnacentral:lncRNA from 1 species
UAGGAAAGUAACAGGACCUGAGUGAGAAGCCGGUUCUUAGCGAUCAGCCAUAAGAUAAACUAAUACCGCAGGAUGAUGGUGUUGCUCCAAAUGAAUGCACUCCAAGGCACCAAGGCCUUCUUUAAUAUGAUGGUUUCCCACGCAAAAGCUACAAAGAGCAAGCCUGAAGGGUUCUUCAUUCUCCACAACUGGUCUGGCCUUUGAUAUAAAAUGGGGAGUGGAGUCCCCAAGAGUCUAGAACAGUCCUGAGGGAUUGUUUGGGAAUGAAGUAGAGGUCCACCACCUUUGCAAGCCUAGAUAAACCCGAGCUAUAAAUGAGAGUCCG